rnacentral:miRNA from 1 species
ACACACAUACACACACACACACACACACAUAUAUAUAUAUAUAUAUAUAUAUAUAUAUAUAUAUAUAUGUGUGUGUGUGUGUGUGUGUGUGUGU